CGGCCCGGGCGGAUAAAAUGGCGGCCGCCGCAGGGUGGGCGGUGUUCGUUUCCUUACCCCCGCACCUGCCGUGUUCCUGCUCCCGGUGAAGGGGAUGGCGGGGGUCUCUCUCACCCCAUUAAGCGUAACGGGGGUUGCGCUUCCCUCCGGCGGCCUUGCGGAACAGGCCUAGAGACCCCCCGUGGGAAACCAGUCCGCCUCACCGGGGCUUCCGGAGUGUAGGGGGACGGCUCUGGGGUGUUUGUGUGGGCGUAGGGGGGAAAGAAGUGAAUGUUUUCCCGAGUCCAGUAAGGGGGCAGCCUUGGGUGUAAAGAAGGGGAAGGGCUGCUCUGAGCUGUGCAGAGGGAGGGCGACUCCACUGAGGCGCACAAGAUUCUUUUUUUUCCAGAUCCUUCAUUUUGGCGGUUACAGGUUUCGCUCUUGACCACUGGGGUUAGGUUCCUGAAAGUCACUGUGGUUGGCAAGAUGAAAGGGAAAAGGGCAGGUGGUGGGCUGGUGUGUGACGGUGGAGAACCAUGGUUACUCAAAACUAUACUGUGGUAGCCAAAACGGUGUACGGACUAUUAACUGGAUACUCAAAACUGGUUGGCGAGGGGAAACCUGUAUUUCUGACUUAGCUUGCUGUUCAUGGGGCAGACGAUUUCGUGGGGAAAACUUCACAGGCUGAACUUGAGGAGAAGGGUUGGGGUGGAUGGUUGAGUCAAGUUGGGCCUAUGCUAAAGCUAUGUAUUGACACUCCAUCUUUUCCUCCCUGGGGUAAAUUUAAAUAUACUUUUUAAGGGACUGUGAUAGUGUUAGGAGCAAUUCUAUGUUCUCAUUUUUCAUGUUUACAGCUGUCUUCCCCACCUCCCCCCUUUUGCCUAACUUCUAGACCUUGUUGAGAUGGUCUUGCUGGAUGUAUGCCCAUGUGCUGCCUAUAGGAAAUGUAAUGUUUUUAGGGAAGGAUGCUGGUCCCUGAAGGAAAAAAUACCCAAUUUUCUACAUCUCAAAAAUACAAGCCUUUUUUUAUAGAAAUACCUGUCUACAGUGCAAGCCAGUAGUCCCAUAUUUCACCUUCCCAGGUCAUGACCCUUGGGUUGAAAAAUGCUGGACAGAUGACCUUUGAGGUCUCUUCUACCCUCUAAUAUAAGAGCUGAGUUGUAUUAUGAAGUGCACACGUGAUUGUUACCUAAAGCAGCGGUCACCAACCAGUGGAUCUUCAUCCACCAGUAGAUCUCAGAGCCUCUUGAAGUCAGUCUGAAGCUGGGGUGGGGGAAGCUGAGUGCCCGUGUGCAUGCACGCACGUGCCCCAGCCCAGGAGAUCAGUCCACGGGGGAGGGAAGGAGUGGGGGCUAGAUCAAGAACCCCACAGUGAGGGACAGUGCCACAGGAACAGGGGUAAGUUGAGUGGGGCCCAGGCCAGGUGGAACUUACCUGCUGGGGAGGUGUGCCUCCAAAUAAUUUUCUCUUGCUCUGCCUUGAUCUGCCCCCCCUCCUUCCCUCCCCACAGACUUACUUGCUGGGUGGGAGGGUGGAGGGGGGUUCAGGAGCACACUAUAGAUCUUGGGUUGCUUUUAAAUGUCAAAGGUGAUCUUCUACUUUAAAAGGUUGGAGACCACUGCCCUAAAGGAAUAUUGUAAAGCCUUUUUAUGUCUUAAGUCCAUACCUAUAUAUAAAAAAGGAUAUUGCAUUGGAAGGAUCUGGUCAGACAGAAGCAGCUGUGAUGACACAAGUUUUUCCACUUCAGCAGUAAUUCAGAGAACCACCUCAAAAAGCUGACCAACUAUAAGGAACAACUGAGAAGAAAGAGUAAGAGAUGGCGGUCAGCAUCCUAUCUUUGUACCAGUAAUAAACAACAACAGUGAUUUGCCCUUUCCUAGCAGGCCUACCAUGAAGAAUUAUGGGUAACUGCUGAAUAAAAACAAUGAGCUUUUUAAGGUACCACAAGGAGUUAUCAUAGUGUUCUCAGGACUAACUGGUAGGGGUGUGUGAAACAGGCCCUAUUAGAUUUGGAUUCAGCCCAAACUGGGGACAGUGAUUCAAUUAAUUGAUUUGGAUCACUGUCCCCGAUUUGAUUCCGCCAAAUCCCAAUCUGAAGAUUUGAUGCUGAUUCAGAGAUAGACACAGCUUUAAAUGUUUUUUCUAUAUACCUUAAGGUACCAGGCGCAGCUCAUGAAUGCAGCAAUGCUGGGGGGAUGGAGUGUCCCACAGGAGCGCAAGGGAGCCCCCUGCGUGCUUGGCAGCAAACCACUUCCAGGUCCGCCGGGGAGCAUACUGCUCCCCCACCCCUCGUCCUCCUGGCUCAACAAUUGGCCACGGGGGGGGGGGGGGGGGGGGGGGCGGCCAGGUGCCCCCUCCCCCCGGACCCAGGAGGCACCAGUCACUGAGCCUGGGAGGGCACAAGGGGGGCUCUCGUGCACGCCCCGGUAGACUCAGAAGAGGACCAGAAGUGCUUCUGAUCCACUUCUGGGUUUGCUGCUGAGCGUGCUGUGGGACACUCGAUGCACCCCAGCAUCACAGCGUUCACGAGCUGCCUACUACCUCGAGGUAUGUAGAAAAAACAUUUAAAGCUGUGUCUAUGGCCGAAUCUUUCUGAAUCGAUUCGGAAAGAUUAAAGGGUCCUGUGAUUCAAUUCGGAUUUGGAGAUUUAGCCACCGAAACAGGCCAAAUCUCUGCUGAAUCGAAUUGGGGACCGAACUUUGCAAAGCCCUGUUAACUGGCUGGUGAACUUCGAUGCUUUCUGCUGUUUGAUGUACAUUUGAAUGUGCCCUUAAAAGUUAACAUUUAAAAAAACAACUACUACUAAAAUAGGUAAUAGCUUUAAAGAGCAUAAGACAACACUGUCUAUGAGUACAUUAAUUAUAAGUGUUGAUAUCAGUGUAUGAAUAUAUUAACUUUUGAAUUAAAAAACACAAUGGAAACUCCUAGCAAAAAAUUAUUAAAAUGGAGUGAAGGUUGAGAGUUUGUAUCAACAAAGAUCCUGGUUUUUGCUGAUUUAAAAAAAAUAAAAAAUCGCAAAUUCUCCAAUUUAAAAAAAAAAAACAGCAAUUCUCUGAUAAAAAUCCCAAAACUCUCAAUUAAACUUAGACAGUGCUGUGUGUGUGUGUGUGUGUCUGUCUGUCAAUUGAACACAAUGUUUUAUUGAUGUAUUUACAAUUUUAAAGCACUUUGGAAGCCUACCAGUACCUCAAUCACUAUAAUAAAAUAAAUUCUAAGUACCUAUAA